rnacentral:rRNA from 1 species
UACGGGGGGAGCAAGCGUUGUCCGGAUUCAUUGGGCGUAAAGGGCGCGUAGGUGGGACGAUAAGUCGGGGGUGAAAGGUGCGAGCUUAACUCGCAGAUUGCCUUCGAUACUGUCGUUCUUGAGUGCAGAAGGGGAUAGUGGAAUUCCUGGUGUAGCGGUGGAAUGCGCAGAUAUCAGGAAGAACACCGGUGGCGAAGGCGGCUAUCUGGUCUGACACUGACACUGAGGCGCGAAAGCGUGGGGAG